GCUAGAUAGCUCAGUUGGUAGAGCGGAGGACUGAAAAUCCUUGUGUCACUGGUUCGAUUCCAGUUCUGGCC
rnacentral:tRNA from 1 species